rnacentral:RNase_P_RNA from 2 species
CCAGUCGGCCGGACGGCCGCUGCGUCAUGCAGAGGAAAGUCCGGGCUCCACGGAGACACGGCGCCGGAUAACGUCCGGCGGGGGCGACCCCAGGGAAAGCGCCACAGAAAGCAAACCGCCGCGCAAGCCUUUCGAGGUUCUUCCGCGGUAAGGGUGAAAGGGUGCGGUAAGAGCGCACCGCCUGGGCGGCAACGCAUCAGGGCAUGGCAAGCCCCGCCGGGAGCAAAACCGAAUAGGGGCGACCGAAGGCUUCAAAACCUUCAACCCGUCUCCGGGAUGUCGCCCGGGUUGGUUGCUCGAGGCGGUCGGCGACGACCGUCCCAGAGGAAUGGCCGUCACGCGCGGGCCGGGAAACCGGCAGGCGCCAUACAGAACCCGGCUUACAGGCCGGCUGGCCCU